UAGGUAAUCUUCGGCAAUGGGGGCAACCCUGACCGAGCAACGCCGCGUGAGUGAAGAAGGUUUUCGGAUCGUAAAGCUCUGUUGUAAGAGAAGAACGUGUGUGAGAGUGGAAAGUUCACACAGUGACGGUAACUUACCAGAAAGGGACGGCUAACUACGUGCCAGCAGCCGCGGUAAUACGUAGGUCCCGAGCGUUGUCCGGAUUUAUUGGGCGUAAAGCGAGCGCAGGCGGUUUAAUAAGUCUGAAGUUAAAGGCAGUGGCUUAACCAUUGUUCGCUUUGGAAACUGUUAAACUUGAGUGCAGAAGGGGAGAGUGGAAUUCCAUGUGUAGCGGUGAAAUGCGUAGAUAUAUGGAGGAACACCGGUGGCGAAAGCGGCUCUCUGGUCUGUAACUGACGCUGAGGCUCGAAAGCGUGGGGAGCAAACAGG
rnacentral:rRNA from 1 species